rnacentral:rRNA from 1 species
UACGAGGGGUGCAAGCGUUAUUCGGAAUCAUUGGGCGUAAAGGGCGCGUAGACGGUAUAUUAAGUCAACUGUUAAAUUCUCCGGCCUAACUGGGGGUAAUGCAGUAGAUACUGAUGUGCUAGAGGGUGGAAGAGAGAAGUGGAAUUCUCGGAGUAGCGGUAAAAUGCGUAGAUCUCGAGAGGAACACCGAUGGCGAAGGCAGCUUCUUGGUCCACAUCUGACGUUGAGGCGCGAAAGCGUGGGGAGCAAACAGG